GUGCUUACUUCAGCAACACAUAGACUAACAUUAGAACCAUACAGAGAUUAAUGUGGCCCCUGUGCAAGGAUAAUAUGCACAUUCAUGAAGUGUUCCAUUAAAAC
ensembl:snRNA U6 U6 spliceosomal RNA